UGGGGAAUUUUGGACAAUUGGGCGAAAGCCUGAUCCAGCAAUGCCGCGUGUGUGAAGAAGGCCUUCGGGUUGUAAAGCACUUUUGUCCGGAAAGAAAUCCUUGGCUCUAAUACAGUCGGGGGAUGACGGUACCGGAAGAAUAAGCACCGGCUAACUACGUGCCAGCAGCCGCGGUAAUACGUAGGGUGCAAGCGUUAAUCGGAAUUACUGGGGCGUAAAGCGUGCGCAGGCGGUUUGCUAAGACCGAUGUGAAAUCCCCGGGCUCAACCUGGGAACUGCAUUGGUGACUGGCAGGCUAGAGUAUGGCAGAGGGGGGUAGAAUUCCACGUGUAGCAGUGAAAUGCGUAGAGAUGUGGAGGAAUACCGAUGGCGAAGGCAGCCCCCUGGGCCAAUACUGACGCUCAUGCACAAG
rnacentral:rRNA from 1 species